rnacentral:rRNA from 1 species
GAUGAACGCUGGCGGCGUGCCUAAUACAUGCAAGUCGAGCGAACGGACGAGAAGCUUGCUUCUCUGAUGUUAGCGGCGGACGGGUGAGUAACACGUGGAUAACCUACCUAUAAGACUGGGAUAACUUCGGGAAACCGGAGCUAAUACCGGAUGAUAUUUUGAACCGCAUGGUUCAAAAGUGAAAGACGGUCUUGCUGUCACUUAUAGAUGGAUCCGCGCUGCAUUAGCUAGUUGGUAAGGUAACGGCUUACCAAGGCAACGAUGCAUAGCCGACCUGAGAGGGUGAUCGGCCACACUGGAGCUGAGACACGGUCCAGACUCCUACGGGAGGCAGCAGUAGGGAAUCUUCCGCAAUGGGCGAAAGCCUGACGGAGCAACGCCGCGUGAGCGAUGAAGGUCUUCGGAUCGUAAAACUCUGUUAUUAGGGAAGAACAUAUGUGUAAGUAACUGUGCACAUCUUGACGGUACCUAAUCAGAAAGCCACGGCUAACUACGUG